rnacentral:ncRNA from 2 species
UUCUUAUCGAGAGUGGUGGAGGGACUGACCCUGUGAAACCCGGCAACCUGCCUUAAAAGGUGUGGUGCUAAAUUCAGAGCUAAAAAAGCGAAGAUAAGAG